rnacentral:tRNA from 1 species
GGGGGCGUGGCGAGAAUUGGUAGACGCACUGGAUUUAGGUUCCAGCGCCGCAAGGUGUAAGAGUUCGAGUCUCUUCGCCCCCACCA